UGGAAGAAGAUGUGGUUUUAUGUUGGGAACCAAGGAUCGUCACUACCAGAGGUUACAGGCCAUGCCCCAAAACAUUUGGAGAAGUGGGCAGCCGAAGCGGAUGAGGGCAAUGAGGAAGUUGCUUGUUUGUUGAAAAGAAUCGGUGCUUUGAAGGCAGCUGGCUUAACUAGGGUUAAUGUGGCCGCAAGCUUUUUGAAGCACAGGAUCCAGCCUCUGAAGGGACGUGAUCGGAAGGGUCACGAGUACUUGGAUUUCAGCGAUCCAACUCGUAUGUCUCUGGACGAUAUUACGAAUGAUGAAGUUGAGGCAAUCCUGGGGAAAAUGUUUAAACCUUUCCAUGGGGUGCCAGUAGUCGAAGAUACCGUCAGACAAUUUGAUCAUUGGUAUGUACCCAACCAGUCUCACAUUUUGACCGAGUACUGGACCCGUGCGGAUAAGUCCAAGGGAGUUAGCGAGAAUGAGCCUCAAGCUCCUUCGGCUAAAAAGCGGCGAUUGGCUGUGAAGAAGCAAGGAGCUUGGAAAUAGAAGGUGUCCGAGGCUGCUAACUUGGUACAUGCAGCUGACGACGUCGCUCCCCCCUGUAGUAGUCGAGGCCACUGAAGGAGUCACGAGCGCCACUGAGGCCUUGUUUAGUUGAUAAAAUUUGGA